rnacentral:lncRNA from 1 species
AUGGCUAAAACUGUGUCCUUUACUCAUUCAGGUGAAUCUGUUUGUUUCCUUGUUUAUCCCUUGAGGAUACUGAAAGCACCCUCAAUAAUACUUGAUGGCUCUGAAGACUCAGGCACAGAUCAUCAAUGGGAUUUGCUGGUGAAGCUGUUUGUGACUGUAACAAAUCAAAAUGACCAAAUUUUCAGGUAUGUUCCAUUCUGUUAUAGUUACAGCUCUAAUGCAGAAUUUGAAUUGCUCACAUAAUUCUCACUUUACUUAACACCCCAUAGGGCUUGCAAAUCUGAGGAAACAGUCAACAUUGACAGUGAGUAAGUGAAUUGAAUGGACCAAACUAAUGAUUGAUGGAUCUCAUCAACGAUCCGAUCCUCGAGCCACAGAACCACCCACAGAUGUCACCCAAAGAUGGAGUUUUGCUGUCAACACACCACCUGCUUUUUUUGCUGCUUAUUCUAGGAGCCAAAAGUUAUAGUAUAUUCAUAGUGCAUUUUAUAGGACUUCAAACUGAAAAUCAUAAAUGAAGCCUUCAUCUGCUCUUGUGAAACAUAUACACUGAAAUAAUGUUUUUCUCCUCUCAUACAUGCAGUUUAGCUCUUGCCCAAUAAUACCUAAUAACUUUCCUUUGUAGUGUUGUUAAAAAUAGAAAGAAAUAUUUCCAUUUGUAUCUGGCAUAGGUAUUUGAGGACAUAGAUUUCAUCGGUAAAAAUGGCCAAAAUAAAUGUCAUCUGGUGUUUACA